UGAUACGGCAGGCAAGCUUUUACUGGGCGGGGCCCCUCAAUCUUGAACUUGCUGGCUUCUUAGCCUGGACGCAAUAACUUCCUGCUCAUUGUAAAUUACCCAACGUUACGUUCUGUUAUAACAGCAACGCAAAGGUGACAGAUCCUGACAGGAUGAAGCAAAACAAGAAUUGCUAACGUUUAUUGAGAGUUGCUGAGUCUUAGUAUUUCAAGUGCUCGAUAAUGCCCCUCCCUGACACGUUCCACUGGCGUCUUAGAAAUAUGGAGGGACCAUUCCAGCCUCCUUUUGUAAAUGUAGAUCUCAGUGGUGCCGGGUGAUUUGCAAGGGGUAAAAACCAGGCUUUUCAGUAGGGGCCUGUUUGGUAGCACCUCUGCCCUCCACAAAUUGUCCUACUUCACAAAUUGUGUGCUAUAGGUGUCCUAUGUGUCCUAUUAUGCCCUAUAGGAGGCAGCUCAACGUGGGUGGGGAAGGGAAAGAAAGACUAGAGAAGACCGGGUGGGAGGGAGAGGUGCCAUCUAAGACAGAAGUGAGCCAAGAUGCCCAGGGUGUGGCUGAGGGGCAGGUGCAGAGGAAGGAAGAAGCAUUUGUUAGAACAAGCACUUUGGACAGAGAGCGCACCGGGAGGCCCACAGUGCUGAGCCAGGCGAUAGAGGUAGAUAACUCCUUUGAUGAAGACUGACAACUCUUCAAAUACAAUAAGCUACAGUGUUACCAGUGUCUUAGAUACGUGUCCCGCGCGCGACUUCCCACCGUCAAGAAGCACGCGGACAUUUAGAAAUCCUUACUGUGACCAACCUUUUUAAUCUUAGAAGAGGAAGCCCCGCCGCACCAACAUGGAGCGCUUAUAAAACCCUAGUGCAGCGCACCCACACCUGAUUGGUUGUUACCCAUGAUCUCAUAAGGCACGCCCCGGAGUGGGCAAAGACCUGGCACGAAGGCACUCUUGCACAUGCGCACAGUUAACUUCCUGAAAGGGGGCCGGCUGGCGCGGCGAAGGCUGGUGCCAUCUUGUAAUGGCGGAGGCUAUCCUGGCCUUCCACGUGGGGCGCAGUGGAAGCCAGCGCCAUCUAGUGGUGGCAAAUGUUAUUGCGGCCCUCUACAGAUACUUUUUUUUUUUUUUUUUUUUUCCGGAGCUGGGGACCGAACCCAGGGCCUUGCGCUUCCUAGGCAAGCGCUCUACCACUGAGCUAAAUCCCCAACCCCUACAGAUACGUUUUUAUUGCUGUGAUAAAACACCCUGACAAAGGAACUUAAGGUAGAAAGACUUUAUCUUGGCUCACAGUUACAGAGGGACACAGUCCAUCAUGGCAGGGAGAGGGGAAGAGGGGUUGCAUUGGCAGCUUGGAAGCAAAGAAAAAACAGGAAUGGACAGACUGUAAAAGAUCAACACCCACACCAGGUGAUAUAAUUCCCAAAAUACGAAGGCCAAGCCCCCUCCAAGCCCACGGUGCCCAGUGCUUACUGAGUACCCGAUUCCAACUCACAGAGCUCAAGAGCUGAGCCGAGACAUAAGGCUGUACCGUUCAGGCAUUCUUUUCUUUGGCCAGUUCUGGAGCACUCGGCAUACCUGAGGCGUUGGUCUGGGAACUCAGAUCACAGCUGGGAACAGGCGAAAUGUCUGGACUCUGUGAGUUGCCUAAACCUUCUUAUAGAAAAAGAUGGGAGGACCAGCCCCCAACCCUGAAGAGACCUAGAGAAGACCGAGUGAAAACCUACACUCUAACAGAAGAUCCAGCUCACUGUGUUUCUCCCCACUCCUGGGCCUACCAGUGUCUCCUCCUCAUUCCCAGC